AAAUAAACCAUCUAUUGCUUGCGAGUAGCAGAUUAAAUAGUUUGACAGUAGAUGAGUAGGUCUACAUUAAUUCUAUAAAUUGCAUUACAUUUUUUUGUUUAUGUUUAUGCAUUUUUAUGCAAUUUCUUUAAAUUUAUUUUUACACUUUGGAUCGCCCACAAUUCUAAAAUAGACUACAUUACAACACGGUAUAAUGAAUAAACCUUUGAACAUCACCUUCCAGGAGAUUAGUGAAGAGAGAAAACUGUAUGUAGCUGAUUCUCUAAACAAUUUAAACAAACUUAAACUGUGUACCAAUGACACUCAAGAUGUAUUAGUAGAAUCGUCUGAAGAAGGAGAUCUCUCCGUUGUGCUUAGUCAGGAUUCCGGAAAGAGAAGACGA